GCGUUCCACAGGGCGGAUGCCACUACCAAGAAGGCCCUCUGCCUGGUUCCCUGUAACUUCUCUUCUCGCAGCGAGGGAACCGCCAGAAGGCCCUCGGCGCUGGACCUCAGUGUCUGGGUUGAACGAUGGGGGUGGAGACGCUCCUUCAGGUACACAGGACAGAGGCCGUUUAGGGCUUGAAAGGUCAGCACUAACACUCUGAAUUGUGCUCAGAAACGUAUCUGUGAAGCAACAAAACAUGGCGUUCCUAUAAUGUGGAGUUUGAGCCACAGGCCCUUUGGCAACUGUGUACACUAAUAUGUGAAGGGCUGCAUGGGGAUGAAGGGGCCAGCUGUGUCCCCGCCCACCUGGCCAGCCUCUGCUAGGUGGAGAGUGACAGUCUCACCAUCAAACACAACCAGUGAUGAGAGCUUUGAGGCCCUUCUGCUUCAUGUGCUUCCUCCACGAGAGGUCUGAAGGGCAGCAACAUGAGAAAGGCUCCCUGCUUGUGGAAUGCUCUCCCCAGGGAGGCUCAGUUGGCGCCUUCAUUAUACACCUCUAGGCACCAGGCAGAAAUAUUCCUCUUUGGCUGAUUAAUCCCCUUUUAAAUGUGGUUGUGGGCUGUGGGGGAGUUUUGCCAUUGAUAACGUCAUUUUCCACCUAACCAACUGGGAAGCAAAUGGAAGAAAAAUAAAAACUUGGUCAAUAGAGUGUCAUUCUUACUGUGGACGUUCUCCCCAACCAAGAGGGAUCUAAAGAGCCUCAUUUGUGUAAAUCAGCCUUAACUUCCUUUACUAAUGGAUAAUAAUUCCUCCUCUUAAGUUGUUGGACAUUUUUGGUUGCAGAAUGAGCCCAUAAACUGAUCAUCCAGAGGCAUACCUACCUACAUAGCAUAAUGGAUUUGUCUCCAGUCUAUUUGCAGCGUGAAAGGACUCCAACACAGCUUGAAUCUCAGGUAAGACUCUGGUCAGAAAGAGUAGAAUAUCAUAUUCAAAUAAAACGAGAACGUAUUCUUUACCAUUUUCCGAUAUCCCCUCCAUCUUGGUGCUUUGACAAAUCAGGUUGGCCAGAGUUUCCAUGACUAUAAUGAAUGGCAGAGGCGCCAGGUUGCCCCCAAGACUGGGCGGGCCCAGAGAGCCCACGGUGGAGGAGGCCGAGCGUGCGGGAGGAGCCACUGGACCUGCAGCGUGUGUGGCAUGCAUAGGGCAGCCUCGAGAUUGAGGGGUCUGCUCCCCUGAAAACAAAGGUACCUUCAGCCUCCCAGAGCUGCCACGCCUGCUACCUGGUGGCCCAAUGCAGAUGCAUUUUGCAGCUCCUAAAGACAAAAGGAAAGUGAAUCAGUCAUGUGUAGUAUACUGGUUUCUUUCUUUCUUUCUUUCUUUCUUUGAAUAACUUGCAUUGGGUUUUAGAAACAAGGAUCAUAGGAAUAAUAAAUGAUUUAAAUAAAUAAAUGGACUAAGUCUUCACGUGCCAUUUUUAUAUCACAAAAGUAGCAUAAUAAAUUUGUAGUAAUGUCAAUGACAAAUGGUUCAUUAUUAGUGGAAAAUAUGUUCUUGGUUUUUGAAUUGGUUUAAACAAAAGCAAAGGGAAAACAGAAAAAACGAAGUUAACAAAUAAGUGUGGUUUACUGUUCUGACUUGAAAUGUAAAUAUUUGGUGUGUUUAUUUUUUGCUAAGGUUUUAAGGUUUGUUUUAUUUUCCUUUUAAAAGUGUGCUUUGCUGUCAUGCAUAUUUUGUGUGGACAAGCUUAUAAAUGGAAACAAUUUGAAACAGUGUGAAUCAGUGUUUCUCAAACAGGGAAAUUACAGGAAAUAUAUACACAUACUUUGUGAGGCAUUUGAUGUAGGCAACGGGAAAAUAUGAAAGAAAAAGAAAAUUCUGAUUAAACUGGCAAGGCUCUCACAAGACCUUCAGAGCAAAUUCCCAUAGUUAGCUUGAGAAAAGAUGAACUAUGGAACUCCUUAACACAAAUAAAAUGCUGUGGCAAAGAAUUUAGCAGUUGCCAAAGAUGGAUUGGAUAUCAACAGAGAUACCAGUAAUUGCAAGCUGAUUAUGCCCAAACUCUGUCUCCAUCUGCCACCAUUUACAGCUUAUCCACACUUCCUCUUCUUCUGCUGCUUUCCUCUGGAAAAACAGCUCUUUAUCGCUCAAUCGGAGCAAACAGCAAUCAGGUUUUCCAUGGAUUUAGAUUUAGCUCUGAUUUAGAGCUAAAGAGUGGCUUUUCCCUGGGAAAGGAGUAGAGCAAGGGGAAAACUACUUGGACCUGUGCUUUCUAGGCAUGGGACAAGCAGAAGUGCGGACAACCCCUAAGUGACUGGCUCUGCCCCUUCACCACUCUUUUGUGAAGCAGUAAUUGUCAGCUGUCUCAAAUGGGCCUUGAGGGUCCAAAGUUUGACAACCUCUGGUGUAAACUUACUCUCUAUAGCUAUAAAAAAUGUACAUGAGUCUCAGUGCAAUUCAAGAAAAAAAAUAGAUAAAAUGAAAUUAGAGGUUAAAAGAGUCUGGUUGCAUCUGUAACUUGCUAAUUCUUGUUUUCUUGUCAAAUUGUGACAGACAAAACAUACUAAAAAUCUGGAAGGAGAUGCUGCACACAUUCUGUUCAUGAAAUUUAUUUCUGAGCUCCAUUAAACCUAGCCAGACUAAUAAUUGAUGUGAGCAUCCGGUGGGGCUAGCUUAUAAGUCCUGGAACACUCUUUCUGUCUAGUAUCCAUGUCUAUAAUUCUUUCACAGAGGGAAGUGGCAGAAUUUGUUAUUGUCUUAGAAACCUGGACACUCUGCUAUCAGCCAGAAACACAAUGUGAGUCAUUCAGUUUUCUCCCCUUGAAGCAAGCUGGUGCUUGCCUAAUUGGUAUUUGAGGAGCUUGUUGAAGGGAGCAGGCUGACUGAUAAUGUCGUACAUGGGGUUUUCCCCCCAGAGUGCCCAGUUGUCCAACUAGCGUAGGAAUGCCAUCACUUUUCUGAACGUGCAACAUGGGGCACCACAGUUCUCCUUAGGACAGGAGUGGGGAACUGUGGCCCCCCAGAUGCUCUUGGUGUGGACUACAACUCCCCCUAUCCCUGACCAUGCCAUGAGGCAGUGGCGGGGGGGGGGGCAGUACCACCUGGAAGACACAGGAUCCCAAUCCUAGGCUUAAGACAUGUUUCAUGGGUACCAGAAUUUUUGCUGUCUUUCAUAUUUCUUCCAGAGCCUUGCAGCCAAGGAUUUAGCUGUUUUUGUUAUCAGAUUAAUAUUUGAAUUUCAGCUCUUCUUAGCUCUGCAGAGUUGCACCACGAACAUCUCUGUUGUUUGCCUAUCGUCUUUCCUUUCCCUUUCAGAAAAGCCACUCUAUCCUUCUGCUCUGCCCCUCAUGGCCGGCUUCCAGCCUUGUUUCCCAGGGCCCCUGAUUCAUCUCUGAUCCCUUUUCUAAGAUCCUUCACCUGCUCUGAUACUGCUAUGAUCUAGGCAGCACUGCUGUGUGCUGGUGUUAUAAUUGUCUGUGGUGUACAGAGUUUUUUGGUCCCAUCAUGGCAGCAAUUCAUGCUAAUGGUGGACACUAGUAUGCCAGAAACAAAGCUCAAUAGAUUAACUAAAAAAGGCCCUGGGAGCCUAAAGCAAUCACUUGCAGAGGAGGCUUCCCAUAGUAUUUCUGGAGGAAUAAUUGCUCUUUGAUGUCCUGAGGGUAGGGGGAGUGGGAUCACACACUUGCCAUCUCCAUUUCCAACCUCCAUGUGUUCCGUUUACAUGCACUGAUUCGUACAAUGGAACAAGUUCUUUAUGUACAAUCAAGAACCUUGGAAAAGCAAAGAUCCCAGUCAUGUGCAUGUAUACACAUAUAAACUAUGCCCAUGUUAAGCUGAACAUUCUUGUGUCUGGGAUUGGGAACAACACAAGUGAUCUGACUUCCCAUCCCACAUGUUCAAUGAAACAUUUGAAUAGUGUUACCUUGCCUCUAUUAUCAGAUGUUUGCUAUUGAAGAGGUUUUGCAGAAUUUUGGCGCGCUAUAAAAAUAUGUAGAAAGCCAGUUUGACAAACACUGGCAAAGGAUGGGUAAAAUAAAUGCAUACCAUGAGCAAUGAUUGCUGCAUUAUAUCUCCUUCAAAUCUAUGAAAAACUAUUGUCUGUACACAGCCUCAGGAUACUAAUAUUCUGAGGUAUUUAAUUGUCCAAGUUCUUAAGCAAUUAUGAAGAUUAGCAAAGUCUAUUAGAACUUCUAAGUAACCUUGCAUCCACUUUCUAUACAAGAAGUGAUUUACUUGAUUAAAAUGUUGCCACUGGAAACAUUAAAAAAAUGUAAUCCCCUUAAUGUAUAGUCAUUCAGUUGUCGUAAUGAUUUCAGGCAGUGUUGUCAAGAUUUUCAAAGUGAAGAGGGCUUCAAAGUUUCAAUACUCAAUGGCUAAACAAUAAGAUGCCACAUAAUUUUGAUGUCAGUUUUGAGUCACUUCUGAACAGCAUGAAUCACAGAGGGCCAAACUACCGUAGUUGUGAUGCAAUUAGCAAUGUCUAGGUGCAAAGCCCCCAACUAGAAAUGGGGCUCUAGCAGGCUGUGGGGCUCAAAUCGUUGUCUCUGCUGUGCUCCUAUUUUCACUGGGGCAAAGCCUCCUAUUUGCAAUAGGGAGUAAUUGUAUUGUGUGAUACUCUCCUGUUUACAACAGUGAGCACUUGUGCACACAUUAGCAUUGAAGCCCAGUAACAGACAAUAGUGAGUGAAACAGACACACAAAGAAAAAUUGUACAAUAAUUAAUAAGGCACACUGGCAGAUAAAUUAAUAAAAUAACAAAAUAGCUUGAGACGGUGUAAAGGAGAUUACAAACUCAGAACUAUUCUAAAGAACAAUUCUAAGCUAUUCUAUUCACUGGCUCUAAUAAGAACAAAUAAGCUACACUUAGGGAACAAUCCAAUAUCAUGAUCCACUGUGUGAGGAUGGUUAGGAUCCAGUGGAUCUCUGGCUGAGCCAGAAGGUUCUUGGCACAUCCAGAGGAAACCAGCUUAACUCCCUCAGGCUCAGCUCUUCCAGAGAUAUGCCAGUGUAUCUCUUCCCUUCCAUCCCAGUGGACUAACAAGCCUGACAGAUCUUAAGCCAGUGUAAGCCCUGAAAAAUGGCAUUCUGGUGGCAUGACAUAGCAGGAUGUCAGGGGCAUUUAGGAUAAGGUUACCAGACGUCCCCGUUUUCCAGAGACAGUUCCCGGAUUUACAGAUCAGUCCCCAUACAAAAUGCAUUGAAGUUGAAAAGUGUCCCCGGAUUCAUUGAAAAAAAAUCUGGUAACCUUAACUUAGGAUGGAUCUUGUGCCUGUUCAGCUUGGUCAUCUGACUUGACAAUUCAGGGUAAAUUCAGACAACCAAAAAGGUGGUGUAAUUCAUAAAGGCUCACUUUCGCUCUGCUAGGCCUGGGCAGGCUUAGGCAGCAGUAGCCCAGCUGCUGAACAGCUCGGAUCUGGUGAAAUGUUAUGUCUGUUUAAUUUAGGCUAAGCUUUUUUCAUGCCAACUUCUUGUGUAGAGGAUGGCUCCCUUAGACAGACCCAAGCAAAACAGAAAAAAUAAAGCAGAAUUAAACCCAAAUGAACAAAUGAAAAAGAGCUGUAGUAAUUUGGAAGAAAGGGACGUGGGUGGCGCUGUGGGUUAAACCACAGAGCCUACGGCUUGCCGAUCAGAAGGUCAGCGGUUCGAAUCCCCACGACGGGAUGAGCUCCCGUUGCUCGGUCCCUGCUCCUUGCCAACCUAGCAGUUCAAAAGCACGAAGUGCAAGUAGAAGGUAAACGGCGGGAAGGUAAAUGGCGUUUCCGUGCGCUGCUCUGGUUCGCCAGAAGCGGCUUAGUUAUGCUGGCCACAUGACCCGGAAGCUGUCUGAGGACAAAUGCCGGCUCCCUCGGCCAAUAAAGUGAGAUGAGCACCACAACCCCAGAGUCGGCCACAACUGGACCUAAUGGUCAGGGGUCCUUUUACCCUUUACCUUUAAUUUGGAAGAAAAGGGAGACAUGAGUAAGGAACUAGGCUGAAAUGAUGUGUCCAGCAAAAGCCUCCAGCAGAACUUUUUAACACUGCUGCCCUUCAAAGACAAAGAGCAAGAAGCACGAGACAAAAACACUAUUUGAUAUCUGUCAAUUUCCCUCCCAUAGCACUGGGAUUUUUUAAGGUUGGGGUAAAUCAUUACAGUCUUGACCUGCCUGCCCCAAUGAGGCUCUCUUGGCUCCUGUCCCCCACCCUGACCUUUGCCCUCUCUUGCCACCACUCUGGCAUUUUCUUUAUAUUGUCAGCCUAGAGACACUCAUUUUGCUUUUCACAGAUACUCAUCUGCAAUGUUUUUUGCUGUCUGAGACGCCAAGGAACCAUGAAGUGCUUUGAGGGAGAUCCUGCUUCAACCUGGAGCACCUUGUACACCUUGGACAAGCCCAGAAAACCUCUGAAGCCCCUCCCCCCUUGAUUUGGCCUUUGGGCUUCUACGUUAAAAGUGAG
rnacentral:lncRNA from 1 species